GCGAUUCAUUCUGCAAGGCACUUUACAAAGAUACAUUCAGCAUUGUUGAGUUGGGCUGAAGAAGAAUUCUGCACUGCAUAGAUUUGGCGUGUGACUCGAGUUGAAGGAAAAGGCUUAUGCUGGUGAGACUUGUUGAAGAGGCUACAGGACUUCCAUGUCCAGACUGGAAAUCCUGGUUUGCUCUGGGCCCAUAUGGAUCAGCCCACUUCAGUCCAGACUGCCCUGGACUUGGACUCCAAACUUCUCCACAGGAGCUGGCAUACGCUUCCCCAGGUUGCAACGCCAAUAAGUUCAAGCAAGCACAUCAAAUGUCAAGCAAACAUCGAAUACUGCAACAAUUUUUUCCUCAUUGAAAUGUGUUGAAUACUAAAUUUGAUGAGUUCUGAAACCCUGUAUGCAGAAGUGAAGGACAAUCUGGAAGAAGAGAAGCAAAAAGGAACAACAUUACUUAAAAAUAUGAUUUCCAUGCAAGCAAAACAUGAUCUCAAAGAUGGACUACAUGGAGAGAGUAUAAAAAUUAUUGAUCUCCCAGAAGAAAGCAGUGGAUCCCAAAAUGUGAAUAUGACAAUGCAAGAACUAACAUAAGAAAACUGCCUGGGAUUUCUGAAUGCUGAAAACAAAGUACCAAUUACUAGGAUCCACAGAUCAUCUCAUCUCUAAACAAAUGUGGUAGUGGUGGGAAAUCUAUGCUUCAAAAAUCUAAGAAAAAUACUGGUUAAAUUCAGUAAUUCCACUUGGAAACAAUGAAUUCUUCAAAAGACCAGGGGAAAUACCUUCAAACAUAAAGAAAAGGAAAUUUGAAUAACAUCUAUUCUGUACCUAUCAGAAACUGAAGGAGGGCACAGAAUAAUGUAACUCAGUAGAGAAAAGGAGCUUAAGAUACAAACCAAGUUUAUCUAUCUUGUGUAUCUAAGCCUAAGCAUUAAGACAAAAAAUAUGUAUGUUCAAUAAAAAGAGAAGUAUCAGAAACA
rnacentral:lncRNA from 1 species